UCUAAUACCGGAUACUGACCCGCCUGGGCAUCCAGGCGUUCGAAAGCUCCGGCGGUGCAGGAUGAGCCCGCGGCCUAUCAGCUUGUUGGUGAGGUAACGGCUCACCAAGGCGACGACGGG
rnacentral:rRNA from 1 species